rnacentral:misc_RNA from 1 species
ACAGAGGAUGCUACCACCUGCCAUAUGGCCAUUCUCAGACACACAGGAUCUGGAGCCGUCUGUCUCUGUCACUUUGAUUCCUGUGGAACUGAGACAGGCUGUAAGAAGAUGCUGGGUUUGGUGAAAGAAUUGUCAAAAGACAAACUACCAGGCAGGAUGGAGCUUCAUUUGUUCGGAGGAUUCCGUGAUGAUAAGGGGACGUCAGAGGGCCUGUCAAUCAAACUGCUGACUGCAUUCAACAAUUUACCAGAAGAGAUCCACCUACAGACUGCAUGUAUCACAGACAUCAACAACACAAAGAAAGGGUCAACCAAUUUUCCAGUAAUAUAUGGCAUAGUGAUACACCUGAACAGUGGAGAAAUCCAGAAGGCCACGUUUUUAGACAGGGGACCAGAUCAACCAAUCAGAUCAGCCCGUCAUUUUACAGGAAGUGAGGAGAUCAUCAAUAUCUAUGACCAUAAGAAGGGGGUCCUGUCCAUUGGACCCUUUAACUACAGCACCAUGGAUGAGAUCGAUCUCCUGUGUCGACUUCCUGAUCAGUUCAUAAGGGAGCAUCUGUCCACGUCACCGGAGCAGGAGCCUGCGCACUUCGAGGAUGCUGUUCGGGCCGCCUUGGUCCAAAUCCGAGACCACCCGAAACCCCUCCAGACAGUGUUCAAGGAGGGCAAACCCCGACAGUACAAACUGGAGGCUAACGGUGCGUGGACGCGAUGUAACUGAGGAGACAGAGGCGUGUCUGUGAUUGGGACAGCAAUCUGUGAUACGUUAAAUCUGUACAUGUUGACUUCACUGUGUGUCAUUCUGUCUCUGAGUGGUAGACGUUUAGUUAGCGCCACAUUUACCUGCAAAAAUGUAGAGUUCUAUCUAAACAAGAUUUUGUUUUAAUGUGAUGAAUUAAUGUAAAUUUUUGUAAAACUAUUAUAUUUAUUUAUGAUAAAGACCACGUUUAUCUUC